rnacentral:rRNA from 1 species
GACGAACGCUGGCGGCGUGCCUAAUACAUGCAAGUAGAACGCACAGUUUAUACCGUAGCUUGCUACACCAUAGACUGUGAGUUGCGAACGGGUGAUUAACGCGUAGGUAACCUGCCUGGUAGCGGGGGAUAACUAUUGGAAACGAUAGCUAAUACCGCAUAAUAUUGAUUAUUGCAUGAUAAUUGAUUGAAAGAUGCUAUUUCAUCACUACCAGAUGGACCUGCGUUGUAUUAGCUAGUAGGUGAGGUAACGGCUCACCUAGGCGACGAUACAUAGCCGACCUGAGAGGGGGAUCGGCCACACUGGGACUGAGACACGGCCCAGACUCCUACGGGAGGCAGCAGUAGGGAAUCUUCGGCAAUGGGCGAAAGUCUGACCGAGCAACGCCGCGUGAGUGAAGAAGGUUUUCGGAUCGUAAAGCUCUGUUGUAAGAGAAGAACGGGUGUGAGAGUGGAAAGUUCACACUGUGACGGUAUCUUACCAGAAAGGGACGGCUAACUACGUG